rnacentral:tRNA from 1 species
GGGCCCGUAGGGUAGCCAGGACAUCCUCGUGGGCUUCGAUGUAGUAUUUUACUGCGAAGACACCCACUGACCCGCGUUCGAAUCGCGGCGGGCCCG